UGAGGAAUAUUGGUCAAUGGGCGGUAGCCUGAACCAGCCAAGUAGCGUGAAGGAUGAAGGUUCUAUGGAUUGUAAACUUCUUUUAUAAAGGAAUAAAGUGAGGCACGUGUGCCUUUUUGUAUGUACUUUAUGAAUAAGCAUCGGCUAACUCCGUGCCAGCAGCCGCGGUAAUACGGAGGAUGCGAGCGUUAUCCGGAUUUAUUGGGUUAAAGGUGCGUAGGUGGCUGUUUAAGUCAGCGGUGAAAGUUUGUGGCUCAACCAUAAAAUUGCCGUUGAAACUGGGUAGCUUGAGUACAGUUGAGGUGGGCGGAAUUCGUGGUGUAGCGGUGAAAUGCUUAGAUAUCACGAAGAACUCCUAUUGCGAAGGCAGCUCACUAAACUGCAACUGACAUUGAGGCUCGAAAGUGUGGGUAUCAAACAGGAUUAGAUACC
rnacentral:rRNA from 1 species